AAGAAAUCCACCCUGGCAGCAGGUCAGCCGCCCCAUCUGACAUCCGCGCAGGACCAGGACACCAUCUCUGAGCUUGCGUCAUGCCUGCAACGGGCCCGGGAGCUGGGGGCAAGAGUCCGGGCGCUGAAGGCCAGUGCCCAGGAUGCUGGGGAGUCCUGCACCCCAGAGGCCGAGGGCCGCCCUGAGGAGCCAUGUGGCGAGAAGGCGCCCGCCUACCAGCGCUUCCAUGCCCUGGCCCAGCCCGGCCUGCCGGGGCUCGUGCUGCCCUACAAGUACCAGGUGCUGGCGGAGAUGUUCCGCAGCAUGGACACCAUCGUGGGCAUGCUCCACAACCGCUCCGAGACGCCCACCUUUGCCAAGGUCCAGCGGGGCGUCCAGGACAUGAUGCGUAGGCAUUUUGAGGAGCGCAACGUUGGCCAGAUCAAAACCGUGUACCCGGCCUCCUACCGCUUCCGCCAGGAGCGCAGUGUCCCCACCUUCAAGGAUGGCGCCAGGAGGUCAGAUUACCAGCUCACCAUCGAGCCACUGCUGGAGCAGGAGGCUGACGGAGCAGCCCCCCAGCUCACGGCCUCGCGCCUCCUGCAGCGACGGCAGAUUUUCAGCCAGAAGCUGGUGGAGCACGUCAAGGAGCACCACAAGGUGAGCGGCCCCUGGCCCCGCUGUGUGAAGAUGGUGGCACCAGCACUGCCUCAGCACCUAACCCUGUGCUUGGAGCAUCCCUGCCACUCACAGCUU
rnacentral:sRNA from 1 species